UCAUUUGAUACUGAGACAUCAUUUCCAACAUGGGCAUGAGAUCUCUGUUGGACCUAGGGGAACAUAAUGCAGAAUGAUAAAUUGUGUCUGAGAAAAAAGAUUACCUGGAAUGAGACAGGAGGAAAGGUCAGUUUGACACAAGUGGCAGAAAACUUUGUGGAUUAACAGGUAAGGACUUGAUCAAUAAAGCGGUUUUCAAUCAAAUGCUG